rnacentral:rRNA from 1 species
CGUAUCACCCAAGACAACUUUACGGAGUUGACGAUUGACGGAGCGAAGCGACGUCAAAGCGUUCAUUAAAGUCGAGUUGGCUUAGGGAUACGUUCGUUGGGUAGGGGAGCGUUCUGUAAGCCUGUGAAGGUGUGUCGUGAGGCAUGCUGGAGGUAUCAGAAGUGCGAAUGCUGACAUAAGUAACGAUAAAGCGGGUGAAAAGCCCGCUCGCCGGAAGACCAAGGGUUCCUGUCCAACGUUAAUCGGGGCAGGGUGAGUCGACCCCUAAGGCGAGGCCGAAAGGCGUAGUCGAUGGGAAACGGGUUAAUAUUCCCGUACUUGGUGUUACUGCGAAGGGGGGACGGAGAAGGCUAUGUUGGCCGGGCGACGGUUGUCCCGGUUUAAGCGUGUAGGUGUGUGUUCCAGGUAAAUCCGGUUCACUUUAACACUGAGGCGUGACGACGAGGCACUACGGUGCUGAAGCAACAAAUGCCCUGCUUCCAGGAAAAGCCUCUAAGCAUCAGGUAACACGAAAUCGUACCCCAAACCGACACAGGUGGUCAGGUAGAGAAUACCAAGGCGCUUGAGAGAACUCGGGUGAAGGAACUAGGCAAAAUGGUGCCGUAACUUCGGGAGAAGGCACGCUGACACGUAGGUGAAGUGAUUUA